rnacentral:rRNA from 1 species
UACGGGGGGGGCAAGCGUUGUUCGGAAUUACUGGGCGUAAAGGGCUCGUAGGCGGCCAACUAAGUCGGACGUGAAAUCCCCAGGCUCAACCUGGGAACUGCGUCCGAUACUGGAUGGCUUGAAUUCGGGAGAGGGAUGCAGAAUUCCAGGUGUAGCGGUGAAAUGCGUAGAUAUCUGGAGGAAUACCGGUGGCGAAGGCAGCCCCCUGGGCCAAUACUGACGCUCAUGCACGAAAGCGUGGGGAGCAAACAGG